CUUUGGUUCUCCCUCUACAUUUUCUCUCUCUAAAACUUAUGUGAUCAUAACUUUUUGAUUUAUAAUUCCAAUUCAAGAUCCGCUUAAAGCUACAGAAAAAUUCAAUCUUAUCAUGUUCUAUUACUUGUAUUUUGUUGGCUCGAAGACCUUGGAUCUGGUUCCUACGAUAUGUAAGAUCCCGGAGGCAACAAAGUCUUGCACUCUCUUUACCUUUGGACGAGUUUUUGUGACAGAAUAUGAAAUGCAAUUCUAUUUUGAUGUUGGUUCAA